GUAAUACGUAUGUCGCAAGCGUUAUCCGGAAUUAUUGGGCUUAAAGGGCAUCUAGGCGGUCUAACAAGUUGAAGGUGAAAAGCUGUGGCUCAACCAUAGUCUUGCCUACAAAACUGUCAGACUAGAGUACUGGAAAGGUGGGUGGAACUACACGAGUAGAGGUGAAAUUCGUAGAUAUGUGUAGGAAUGCCGAUGAUGAAGAUAACUCACUGGACAGAAACUGACGCUGAAGUGCGAAAGCUAGGGGAGCAAACAGGAUUAGAUACCCUGGUAGUCCUAGCUGUAAACGAUGAUCACUGGGUGUGGGGGUAUAAGCCUCUGUGCCGAAGCAAAAGCGAUAAGUGAUCCGCCUGGGGAGUACGUACGCAAGUAUGAAACUCAAAGGAAUUGACGGGGACCCGCACAAGUGGUGGAGCAUGUGGUUUAAUUCGACGCAACGCGAGGAACCUUACCAGAUCUUGACAUACUCGGAAUAAGAUGGAAGCAUCUUAGUGCCUUCGGGAACCGAGAUACAGGUGGUGCAUGGCUGUCGUCAGCUCGUGUCGUGAGAUGUUGGGUUAAGUCCCGCAACGAGCGAAACCCCUAUCAUUAGUUGCCAUCAUUAAGUUGGGGACUCUAAUGAAACUGCCCGCGACGAGCGGGAGGAAGGUGGGGAUGACGUCAAGUCAUCAUGCCCCUUAUGAUCUGGGCUACACACGUGCUACAAUGGGUAGUACAAAGAGGAGCUAAGCAGUGAUGUGGAGCAAAUCUUAAAAGCUACUCUCAGUUCGGAUUGAAGUCUGCAACUCGACUUCAUGAAGUUGGAAUCACUAGUAAUCGCAAAUCAGCAAUGUUGCGGUGAAUACGUUCCCGGGCCUUGUACACACCGCCCGUCACACCACGAGAGUUAGUUGCACCUGAAGUUACUGGCCUAACCGUAAGGAGGGAAGUACCUAAGGUGUGAUUAGUGAUUGGGGUGAAGUCGUAACAAGGUAUCCGUACCGGAAGGUGCGGAUGGAUCACCUCCUUU
rnacentral:rRNA from 1 species